rnacentral:rRNA from 1 species
UACGGAGGGUGCAAGCGUUGUUCGGAAUCACUGGGCGUAAAGGGCGUGUAGGCGGUCCGCUAAGUCUGAUGUGAAAGCCCGGGGCUCACCCCCGGAAGGGCAUUGGAAACUGGCGGACUCGAGUCUCGGAGAGGAAGGUGGAAUUCCUGGUGUAGCGGUGAAAUGCGCAGAUAUCAGGAGGAACACCGGUGGCGAAGGCGGGUCUCUGGGCCGAUACUGACGCUGAGGAGCGAAAGCGUGGGGAGCGAACAGG